GUAACGAGCGCAACCCUUGUCCUUAGUUUACCAGCACGGUUAUGGUGGGCACUCUAAGGAGACUGCCGGUGGACAAACCGGAGGAAGGUGGGGAUGACGUCAAGUCAUCAUGGCCCUUACGGCCUGGGCUACACACGUGCUACAAUGGUCGGUACAAAGGGCCGCCAAGCCGCGAGGUGGAGCUAAUCCCAUAAAACCGAUCGUAGUCCGGAUCGCAGUCUGCAACUCGACUGCGUGAAGUCGGAAUCGCUAGUAAUCGUGAAUCAGAAUGUCACGGUGAAUACGUUCCCGGGCCGUU
rnacentral:rRNA from 1 species